rnacentral:rRNA from 1 species
AACGAACGCUGGCGGCAGGCCUAACACAUGCAAGUCGAACGCCGUAGCAAUACGGAGUGGCAGACGGGUGAGUAACACGUGGGAACAUACCCUUUGGUUCGGAAUAACUCAGGGAAACUUGAGCUAAUACCGGAUAAGCGCUUAGGCGGAAAGAUUUAUCGCCGAAGGAUUGGCCCGCGUCCGAUUAGCUAGUUGGGGAGGUAACGGCUCACCAAGGCGACGAUCGGUAGCUGGUCUGAGAGGAUGAUCAGCCACAUUGGGACUGAGACACGGCCCAAACUCCUACGGGAGGCAGCAGUGGGGAAUAUUGGACAAUGGGCGCAAGCCUGAUCCAGCCAUGCCGCGUGAGUGAUGAAGGCCCUAGGGUUGUAAAGCUCUUUUGUGUGGGAAGAUAAUGACUGUACCACAAGAAUAAGCCCCGGCUAACUUCGUGCCAGCAGCCGCCGUAAGAC